CCUACGGGUGGCAGCAGUGGGGAAUCUUCCGCAAUGGGCGAAAGCCUGACGGAGCAACGCCGCGUGAUCGAAUGAAGGCCUUCGGGUUUUAAAUAUCUGUUGACAGGGACGAAUAAGCAAUGCGAAUAUUUUUUUGUAUGACGGUACCUGUUUAGAAAGCUCCGGCUAACUACGUACCAGCAGCCGCGGUAAUACGUAGGGAGCAAUCGUUGUACGGAUUUACUGGGCGGAAAGGGCGCGGAGGUGGGCGCUUAAGUCAGGUGUGAAAAACCCGGGCUCAACCUGGAGACUGCACUUGAAACUGGGUGUCUUGAGGGCAGGAGAGGAAAGUGGAAUUCCUAGUGUAGCGGUGAAAUCCGUAGAUAUCUGGAGGAACAUCAGUGGCGAAGGCGACUAUCUGGAACAUAACUGACGCUGAGGAGCGAAAGCGUGGGUAGCAAACAGGAUUAGAUACCCCUGUAGUC
rnacentral:rRNA from 1 species